CACACAUUCUAGAAGUCUCAAAUUUCAUUUAAAUUAUUUAUAAAACUUCUACUUUUUCUUAUGCUUUAAAACAGGCUCAGUUGCCAGGAGUGGUGUCACAUGCUGAGGGAGGAGGAUUGAGGCUAGCCUGAACUACACAGUGAGACCCUGCCUCAAAAAUACAUAAACAGAUAAAUAAAAUAAAAUAGACUCAGUUAUUAAGAGAUAAUUUUGAAAAUUCAGUAAAAAACAAAAAGAAGUCACCUCUCUCUGGUCAACCUCUAUUCCUAUUUUAAAGUCUAAUUUUUUAAAAAUUCCAUUGUGCUUUUUUUUUUUUUUUUUGUAAAUUGGCUCAUGUCUUUUUACAUAAUUGAUGUCAUAGUGUAUGGGUAACACACAGCCAAAAUUAGAAGGAGAAAUAACUACCAUAAUUAUUAUCUUAUUAUUAGUAUUAAAUUUGUGCUUCAUUACUUAUAGAAUCUUUGCCAUAAUUUCUUUAGCAAUUUCACGUUGUUGGACUCCUCUGUUAGUGACUUGUCAUGACUAUGAAGAGAGUGUGAUGAAUUCCUCCAGACACAACAUUUUUCUCAUUUCCAGAUCUUCACAAAGUGGUGAAAUUACUUGGUCACCGCCGGCCACAUCUUAUCUGACGCACUGGCUGCCUCUGAGAAACUUUAUCAUUCUUAACACUGUCUUUUUAAUAACAAAAAUGCAUAACGCUGAUUCAUCUCCAAAGCUUAAAAAAUGGUGCUCUCCACUGGCAAAGCAUUUUGAUAUCAUACAUGGCCAUGAAACAGUCAGCAAUGACCCUGUUAGGCCUCUUGCAGACAGCAGGAAAGUAAACAUUUCAGCCCCUCCUCCACAGAAAACUGCAAUACGAGAUCUUUCUCUCUGAGCUUUUUGGGCAACCCCCUCAGUAGCAGUUACCAGAAGAAUUGUAGGGAUUGAGAAAGUGUUUCCUUAUUUCGAAUCCUUCUUAAUUUUCCUUCCUCUUGCAUAAGAACUAGGGGUAACACUACUCUAUAUGUUGUGAGACUUACCUUGCAAACUUAGUAAAUUAUCUUUCCAGAUAAGGUACAGUGAUGGGUGAGAAGAUACAAAAAACAGAGCUACCUCUCAUAUCACCCCAGAACCUCAAUCAAUUUCCCCCAAGUAGACCUUUAACAGGACUGAGAUCAAAGAAGUAAAAGAUUGUUAGGAAGGUGACAGGCAAGUCAUAACUAAAAAUUGUACUUUUAAGACUGUAACUUUUGGAACCCAGAUAAAGUCAACUAAGAGCAUUACGUUGGUUAAAUCUAGACUCCUUUAUUUCUAGACCCUGAAUCACAACCAGAAUUCCUCAGAAUGCUGGCUCCACUUAUAAAGUAAUGAGCAGGAAACUGAUCCUCAGAUAAAGGAACAGGUUAAGAGAAUUUAAAGAAUACUCCGAUUAUCCAUCUAAAAUAUUCUGUCCACACCUGCAAUAUGGAGCUGCAUCCUUCAGGGGAUGGGGCACAUUUUCCUGGGGCUUCCACCCCCUCGAUAGUUCCAAGAAUUCAGCACCUCUUUCUGUUUUGGGCCCAUAUUCUGUUUCUUUGAGUGAGUACUCUUUGAUUUUGCAUAGUAAACCCUUCCCAGGCCUCUCAUUGACUAGUCCUGAAAAUCCUUUCCCUAUAGCAAGAGUCAGCAAAUUUACAAACUUAUUCUACAAGAUGGGCAGGUUAGGUUCUCUCAGCUCAUGUUAGGUUAGGUUCCUCUCAGAUUAGGUUCUAUCCGAGCUCCAGGAAUCGCCUGAGGCCAGCAAGCUGAUUUGCAUGGACUUGUGAGUCUGGCACUGAAUGGUGACGUCACUGGUUGAGAUUUCUAUGUAGCAGGAUAAUGACACAUGCAGGGAGAAAGCAGUAACAACAGCUCUGAUUUACUGUGUACCUUCCUUUCCAGGUUCUGUAAUAAAUAUUGUAUGAAAAUUGAGCCAUCUCAUGCUGCUCCAAUUUAAAUUUUUAAUAUUUAAGUGAUGAAAAGCAUGUUUUAUCUGUUUAUGAGAUCCUCGGCUUGGUGGAAUGGUAGAGGUUUGUUCUCUUCCUGCUACUGGUUUUCAGUGUCAUAGUGUUAUGCAUCCCUUACCUUUUCCUGCUCUGAUCUUGGGGAUGCUAAAUGGACCAGAUGAGUGUCAUGUCAAUGCAUUGGUUCUUAUUGGCUCUCUCUGACUCGAAGUCAGCCUGGACUUGUGUUCCUUGAGCUGCCAGGCUGCUGAGGUCAGCAUGUGCACAUUUCCUAUCCCUUACUGCUCGACUUUUCUGCAUUCAUCUCCAUCUGAUCCUACUUGAAAGAGAAGAGGCAGGAGUGGUGCAGGUCCUCUGUCUUUCUCGACAGGAGCAAUUUUUCUUAGGAUUAAUGCUUUCUGGCCAUUACAGAUGCACAAAUGGCUUGAAUAGCACUUUUGCAGAUUUCUUUGCCAUCUCCUUGCAGGAAGUUGUUCCUAAACAUCCAUGAUGGGAUAUGUGGAUGGCUGAUGAUUGCUGCUCUCUCUCCCUUAGCUUCUGAGUCUAAUGGUACAGCUCCAUCUUCUGUCUGCUGGGAUCAAAUUCAACCCUCCCAGAAGUCUGCAUGGCUGCUGUUCUUUCCACAUGACUAAAUCCUGGUUUCCUCUAGCAGAUCUACUCGCCUUUAGGCACAUAAGCAGCUGUGGGAUGAAUUUUCGUGCACAUCCUACAACCAGAGCAGCUCCAGCCAGCUCCCCGUUUCUGGGCUUCUCUAAGGAAGAAGAUGCACUGCUCUCCAGAAUCCAGGUGACACUGCUGGACACCCACCACCUCUCACCUCCAGCACUGCUCUGGUCCUCUGUCAACAGUGAUCAUGCAUUCUAUGCCCAAAGGAGAUGGUGAAGAGCUGAUACCACUGUAAUCAGAUGUUGCUGUGAAACUCUAGAGAUGGCAGAGAUACAGCCUGGCUGUCAGGAAACAUGAAUUUAAAUGUAGCCUUUGCUGGUUUUAGAUUUUUGUAACUUUAAAAAUAUCACUGAGUCAUUCAAGUCUCAGGAGUCACAAGAACAUAAUAUUGGGCAAAUCAGAAAGGAAAAUAGAGUGUGAAUGUGCUAUGGGCCAUACAUACCAACCCUGAGAUUUCAUUUUGUGUUGAUAUGGGUUUCUUAAAUUUAGGGGAUAUCCACCCAUUUGCUAAGAGGUGGCUUUGUUUUUACAAAAGAAUCAGGCUUCCUGAAUAACAUGGGACAAAGAUACAUGUGCACAGUGUGUGCAGGAACGAGUUUUUCUGUGAAUAGUAUACUGGAUCUAGCAUCUGAGAAUAAAAUUUUUCAUUCUUAUAUUUGUUUGUUUGAGACAAAGUCUCACUACAUAGUCCAGGCUGGCCUUGAACUCACUCUGUAACUGUGUAGUCCAGGCUGCUUGUGCUGAUCCUCCUACGUCAACCUCCCAAGUGCUGAUUACAUUGUGUGCCACUAUGCAUGGCUUCAUUCUUUCAUCUGGUCCUUGCUGAAGGCUCAAGUGCAUAUGGUUUUGAGGGCCAAGUAAGGUGCAUGCAAAGUCAGUAGUGCAGGUGGUAUAAGAGUUUAGUAAUACAGAAAAGACAAGUUUGUUUAGUCCAGAGUACAUAAUAAGAGGGACAGCAAGCGUAUUUCCAGGAGAGGAAUUGCACAGCCCAGAUGAGAGGCUGGAGUUUGUCAAGGGGCAGGAUGUAUGUUAAGGAUCUGUGGAGCAAAUCUAGAUAUCUUAGAAAUGCUAUUUCUGGUACAACUGGUUUUUAUUGAUCUUUUAGGAACAGCUUUGCUAUUUCCAAAAUUGUACACUAAGUUGCAAACUGUCAAGGUUUUUUUUUUUUUUGCUUAAGCUUCACAAAAUGCCCUUUGGACUUACACAAGGAUGUCUGCAUCCUUCAGUGUUUGGGGGAAGAUGGGUCAUUCAUUAGCUCAUGAGGGGACUGAAUAGCUCUGAUAUUUAUUUUUAUCUUGUGAUGUUCUUAUUUAGUAUCAGUCCAGAGCCACAUGAAUGCCCAGUGCUUGCUGGGUAGGCUUGUAUCACCACAGAGUGUUAACUUCGAGUGUUAACUGAUGAGUCACCAAAAGAAUAAACUGGGAUAACUGUCCCUCACCUUACAUCUGACCUCUUCUUAUAAACACGCUGGUUUUCUCUUCACACACCCAAUAUAACUGAGAUAAUCACAAAUCAUUUUCUCAGUUUAUUUCUCCUAAUUGUGUGUGGAAUUGAUUUCCAAAAACCAUAGAAAAGCAUGACAUUCCUUUCAAUACUUCAUCCAUCACAUGAUGGUAACACCGAAGCUGGGAUUUGGUCAAGGUCUUUGGCAGUGGAAUAAACCACUUAGUUUGACAUUGAUGCAGGUACAUCCACGAAACACAGGUGAGAUAAUCCACAUUCCUUGCAACCAGAAUAUUUACAUUGGUGUGUGCUUCAAUUCUCUUAUCACUUUGGCUAGACCACCUCUGUCUGCUGGCAUCGAUUAUAUUUUUCUUUAGUGCUCUCAAGUUAACUGCUAUGCUUUGGGCAUUGUUUAGUUAGUUUUCUCAUUGCUGAGACAAAAUAUCUGACACCUCAAGCUAAAGGGAAAAAGGUUUAUUUAGCUCAAAUACGCAGAGGCUUCAGUUCAUAAUAGGCUGGCUCCAAGGCAGGGUGGUACAUGACAGAAGGACAACAGGUCAUGGUGGUAGAAGAUAGAAAAAGUAACAAGAAAGAGAGACAAACUUCUUUUUGUCCCUUAUAUUGUAUGCAGAAUGCCAGGAGUAGGGAAAUGCCAAUCAAAUCAGUGGACUGGUCCAGCAAUGAUUCACCCUUAAUCCCAGCAUAACACUAGCCACCUCCACCAAAACCCUGUGACCACAUGAGACUAUGGGGGACAUCUAGACACAUCCAUAACAGGCAUCACAAAGGACACUUAACAAAGUAGUAUAUUCAUUGAUUCAAAUGUAGGUCUAUGUUCCCAUUGUAAUUCUUUGCAUUUACUAUAUUCAUUUCCUAAAAUGCUUGCUCCUUUUUUCACUAUUCUGCUUUCUAAAGUAUAGAUCUAGCUUAAUUUAUGAAGAAAUAAGAAAAUUAGCUCCAUAUUUUUUCUCUCAGUUUCUGUGGCAAUCUGUAGCUAUUCCCCAAGGAUAGUUUACUGGGUACCAAUCACUUAGCAUAUUUAAAUAUUGUUUAUAGGAACUUUUUUUUUUUACUAAUCUGCAAGCUAAGAAACUGAAACAGUAAAUAAAGCCCAAAAUGUACAAUAGAUAUUGUAAAAUAGGAAGAAUUCUUCAAAAAGAAAGAGAAACCAGGGAGCUGGGAGGGGAGGAAAGAAAGGAAGAGAAAAAAGAUAAAAGAAAGAUAAAAUGAAAACAAAGCUUUGUAAAUGAGGAGAAGAGAGGUCUAAAGGGAGGGGCAGGGAUUGGGAAAAAAGAGGAAUCAGGCUAUAUCUUGUCCAGGAACAAAUUUCCUAUGAUGAAUAUGAUCAUUAUGUAUAUCUAAAUUUUACCCAUAAACUUCACUUUAGAAAGUAGAAUCCAUAUCAUAUUUCAAGGAGGAGGAAUUGAAAAGAGACUCAGAGGAGUUUUCUAUGAUCACAGAAUGGAAAUUAUGAUCUAAUAAUACAGUUGACCUCUAUGAUUUAUUAAAUAUAUAGAAUGGAAGCCUAUCUACCCUCUUGGAAUAUUUGGGAUUCCAGAUUCUGACUCUAUCUGAAGCAUGAUAACCAGCACUCAGAUUAUAUCUAAAGUAAAAAUAUGCAGUAGGUAAAACUAUGGCAAAGGAAUAAUUGGAUUAUGAGGAAAAAUUGUGCAACUAGAAGAGAUUUUUAUUACACAGGCUCCUCCUGAUCCCCAGAACCUACUGUGAGGCAAGGAAUCUACUGUUUUCUGUGUUGCAUCUGUCCCAGCAAUGAGGAAAGUAACUAAGACAGGGACUCUUGAACUUUGUUGUUGGAAAAGUAAAUUGGUACAGCCAUUAUGGAAAACAUUAUGAAGAUUCCUUAAACCACUAAAAACAGCACUGCUUUUUGGUCCAGCAUUUCCACUGCUGGACAUACACCCAAGAAAAUGAAAUCUUUAUGCUAAAGAGACAUCUGUGCUCCUGUAUCUGCAUCUUGAGGGUUUCUGUUGUUGAAUUGUUUCAAUUACUCACAUAUUCUGGAUAUAAAUCCCCUGACAGAUAAAUAAUUUGUAUUUUUUAUUUAUUCUUUAUUGUGGUGCUUUUUUUUCUGGCUUGCACUUCCUAUUUCUCUUAAGUGUGCAUUUCCAAUUUUUUUCCCUCAGCUUGAGUGCAAUGUUAUAUUUCCCUACCUUAUUAUCUAAUGUAUUUAUGUUUACUGUCAUGCAGUUAUAUACAAUAUUUUUUUUAUAAAUAAGGGUCUUUGAAUGUGGGUUGUAGCUUCCCCCCAUUCUUACUGUCAAUUUUCAACCCUUCUGAGUAAGUACUUGGGCUCUCAGGCAGUUUCCUGCCUUUAAGGCCCUUUAAAGGAGCCUGCUCCAGAUUAGCUAUCACUGAUGUACACAGUUUGCCUUUUAAUAGCUUAAGUUUUGUUUCUAUUAUCAUCAAAUUCCUCCUCCUUUCUUCUGCUUCACCCCUGCUUAUUUAAAAGUUACCUCCACAGCACGUAUUUCUCUGUCUGGAUAUUUACAGGGUUUCCUUCUUAAUUCUCAGAAGUCAUACGCAUGCCCUGAGACCUGAAUAGAUGAGGCUCCCUUUUAACAUGGGAUAAUUUCUGUCGGCUCAGCCAUGGCUCUUCUUUCAUCCCUUUAAUAACCGCUUUCAACACAUUUACUCCAUUCUUUUCUUACAGUGCCCUAAUGUACUGAUGACUUAACUCGUUUUAUAGACUCUUUCUCUUCUUUAAUGACAGAAACCUUUUAUUUUGUGCUAGAUUCCAGGGGCUUGAGUUGGUUUUCUAAAUGACAGCCAUGCACAUUCUAGUAUAUAUUGAGAGAUAAUUUAACAAUUUUGCAGUCGGACACUUAUACACAAGGACUUUCUCUCACCCUUCUCUUUUCCUUCCUUUUGAGGCAUGCUAGUUAUUAUUUCCAUCAAUUUAAUAUCUCCCUAAAUAUUUAACUCAUUAAUAUCUGGCAUUUCAAUAUUUUCUGUAUUUUUAGAUUAGUUUUUUCUUUGGUCUUUCAAUUUACUCUUUCUCUUUGUAUAUUUCUUGGAUAAUGGGUUACUUUUAUUAUUGGUUAAUGAUAUGGUUUAGAUCCCAAAGCUUCUGGGGUUCAAAGGCAGGGCAUUUGGAAGGGAACUGGGUCUUGGGGCUGCGGAACUUGUCAACUGAUGCAUUCAUUGAAAAUUCAUACAGGUGCCCCAGGUGGAAGUGGUCAGUCUCUGGGGAACAACAGGACAGGCCGUCACCUUCCUAGCCCUUCCUCUCUCUCUCUCUCUCCUCCGUGCUUCCUGGCUGCCCUGAGGUGAGCACCUUUCCCUCUUCCUCACACCCCUGCCCUCUUCUGUCUGCCUUGGAAUCAACCAACCUUGGGCUCAUUCUGUGAGCCAAAAACAGACCUCUCCUCUUUAAUUAUGGAGGGACGGAAUUUUGUCCCAGUGACAGGAAAGUGUCUAAGAUAGUUCAUGUUUGUAAAUGUCUGAAAACACCCAUUUCAAUAAUAACUAAGACUUUUUCAGCUGUGCUGAAGAUGCUGUGUUUGUUUUUCCUCAGAGUUGGAGCUACAACACAAGGCAGAGUAAACCCCUGCCUUUCCCUCACAGCCUGUCCAGGACAAAUGGGGCUGGAGUAACUGAGCAGCCUUACCUCCUCGGUACAGAAGCGAGCGGAGGACCUCACAUGCCACGCACAAUACUGGGUGACUCCUCCAUUAUUGACGGCUCCACCCUCCAGUUAUUGAUGGCCAUAUUCAGCAGGCUGUGUCCUAUUGAAGUAAAAACAAAUGGCAGGACACAGAGGAGGAAUUAAUUAGGAGGAGAAACAGAGGAGGUUUUCUUUCAGUCAGUUUUGAGUUAAUUGGCAUUACUUUAUUCUUUUGGAUUUUAUUUACUUGCUGUUUACUUAUUAUUUGCUCUAUUACUUCAUAUUCUUGUUCUUUAAUCCAAAUUUACAUUAGAAGUACAGUGUGUCUUAGAUGAACUGUAACUUCUGGAAACUGCUCAGUCAUCAAAACUAAGCUGGCAAGAAAUUGACAACAAACUCUCCUUCUCUUCCAGCUGUGAACUCUAAAGUUUCUGUCUACAUGUACAAAAGAUAAAAGAAAAUAAACAUUUGCAUUUUGUGCAUAAGGGAAAAUCUAUUGUCUUUUUCUUUAAAAAAUGACAAAUGGGCAUUUUUAAGUUUCAAAUUUACAUAAAACUCAACAGAUUUUUAUCAAUUGUUGAUAUUAUAUUCACGUGACAUAUUUAUUGCAGUUAGUGAACCAAUACCACUGCUCUUAACUGAUGUCCAUAUUUUUUUGUUCAGAUUGCCUUAGCUUUUACAUGAUGUCCUGUUAACGAAUCUGAGCCAAUCAUUUUUAUUACUCAUUUAUUAUUGCAAGACUGCAUCUCACUAACUUGUGAAAUUUCCCAAAAUGGGUUCUGACUUACAAUCCCCCUGCUUCAGCCUCCCAGAGUGCUGUAAUUACAGUCAUAUACCACUAUGCCUGGCUUUCACAUUGAUUUUAAUAAUAUUUUCUUUACUUCCUUUUGGCUGUAGCAGUUUAUUAGAUAUUCCUUAUUUCUGCUAACUUUAGUAGCUUUAGAAAAUUCUGGUUAGCUAUUUUUAGAACACCAUUCAUUUGCAAUUUGUUUUUUUGGAGUUAUGGUUUUUAAGGGGAAAAAUAAAAUGUAUGUUCAUCACAUCAUUUCAGAAGCACACACUGUUGACAUGAGUGUCACUGUAUCCUGAUUCUGAUACCUGGCAGAGGUGUUUCUUAGGUUUCUUCACUGUGCAGUACAGCGUAAGUUUUAAUAUCAUGUUUAUUGGAGGGAAGGAACUUUACUCAGUGCACAGUUACGGAGCAGAGAGUUAUGCUUCUGCUACUUGAAGGCAGAGCAUUUACAGAAACUCCUAGAAGUUCUUCUCUAUGAGAAGCUUGUCUCUUGUCCCCAUUCAUUUUAAUCAGUUUUAUUUAUAUUAGUACAAUCUCAUAUGUACUUAUUUUAUAUCUUGGAUUUAAGAAGCCAAUGUCACUUUUGUUUUGUUCCCUAAACUUUUCUGGUUUUGAGGAUUGGUAGCUUUUCAGUUGGCUUCUGUGUCUCUCUAAUGAAUGUCCCUGAAUAUUGGUUUUGUCUUUCCUACCUUCUGGCAAGAUAAGGUCCUGCAGGCUCACCUUCUGUAUUUCCUGCCCCAGUCUUAGGAAAGGUCAUUUCUCCAUAAAGUGCUGACUCCAUUAAUGCAGGAAAGUGUUUGAAACCAACAGUUGGUUUUCAGGCAUACUGUGUGCUCGCAAAGUAUUAUCCCCAGCCUCUCCCAUGUGAUACAGAGAGCAUCCUCUCCAUAUGUCAAUAGUCUAUAUAUGGCUAAAAUGUGAGAAAACAGUCUGGUUCUGUGGUUGUGAAUAUUUAUGUUUCCUGAUAUGCUUUCUAAGCAGAGGAUCCCUCAAUCAAACUCUUGCUCACUUGGAGUCAGAGGUUGAGUUCCUUAAAAAAAUUAAAAAAACAAAACAAAACAAAAAAAAACAGGUGACAGAGUGCAGCUUUGUUCUUCCAAUCCAGAAUCUGGCCCAAGAGUAGCAACAACAGAAAACAUGGAAGUCACACUGACUUGGGCUAUUUUUUACACAUACAAUGGGAUUUUCUGCACACUUCUAUUCAUCACUUCUAGCCCAAUAUUGGCUGCCUUUACCUGGCUCUUGGUUUCUAUUUGUCCCACGGCUUCCAAUUUAACAACUCUAAAUAUUGCCUUUGUUGAUCCUUGAAUUUACAAUAUUCUCUCUAUGUUAUUUUGCUUACAUGAGCAGUGUAUUUUUAGCUUUAUUAUUGCUCUGAACAUCUCACUACUUUCUUGAAAUUUCACUUCUUUUUGCUAUUGUUGCUUUGCCCUUCUUAAAGAGAGAGCAAUAAGUAUGGACCAGUUUCUUAAACCUGUAAGUGUAGCAAGAUGUGGACCUUUAGGAAAAGCUAGCAUACUUUAUUUACAGGCAUUUCUUUGUAACAAAGAACCUUAGCUGUAUUUCAAGCUAGAAUGAGCUUCUCCACAGCUUACCUAAAAAGAAAGCCCUGACAAGUAGCUGAGGGGUUCUUUGAGCUUGUUAUAUCUCAGUUUCAAUUAUGAUCAUGAAAAGUUGAAAUAGGAAUCUAUAAAUCAGGGCCCUACAUCAGAAGAAUGCUUUUCCUUUCUGAUGCAUUGGAAACUGGAGCAGAGCACCAGAAUAAUUUUUUACUUGUUUACAAAUCUCAUGUGAUGCUAUAAAAAUUUCUGAAUGUGUGUUGACAUUGAACUUUGGUUUCAUGUUUAAAAAAUUAGGUAAAUCUAUCUUUUUUGCUUUUGAUAAUCUGCUAGCAAUGUCAUGUUUUUGCAUAAAAGGUCUUUCUAAGAUGCAAAUAUGUGCCCCACACAUUCUUAUGGGAGUUUCCAUUGCCCCUGGGAUCUAGUCCUCCAUUCAUCUCCAGUGGUUUUUAUAUUGCUCCUACACUGAUGAUUUUCCAUUGACAUUAUGCACUCUUCCUUGUAAUGAGUAUGCCAUGUUUCUACACAUCUGUGUCUGUGCCUGGAUGUCUUACUGUGCUAUGUUGAAAAGCCUAUUAGAUCCUGAUAGACUAUGUUCUAAUAUUAAUCUUCUGACUUACAUAGUACAUAACAUUAGGUGAUUCUGGUAAAUUCCACAAGUUCCACUCUUUUUCCUACUGUAAAAUGGGCAACAAAGACAUUGAACUUACGUUGUCAAAUUUUAAUGUAAUGUGUGAGAACACAUUAUAUCAAGAAUUUGCUACUUACCUGGAUACAUAUAGGUUGUUUAAAUGCCCUUUUAAUCAUUAGAUAAUUUUUAUUCAUUCUUCAGGGAUUAGAGGAGCUUCCCUCUUUCCAAAAGAGAGCCUUUAUUCUCUCUGCCUUUCCUGUCCAGCCAACUGUAUAAUAGUUUCCAGUCUUGAGUAGAGGGACCCUGUCUUACUUAUUUUAAAAUAUCCAAGGAAAUUCCCUUUUCUGGACUAUGUUUAGUACUGAAGGAUUUGUUAAAAUAAUUGACAUUAAUUUUAUUGGCCAGGCCACUUAAAUAAAUUUAAACUAAGUUUAGGAUCCUAUGCAAGUUUAAUUAUGAGCAUAAAUCAAGUAUCAUGUUCUAAACUCUGCAGUUCCCAUCUGUCCAAACAAGCAAUACUUUUCAAUUCCUAGGCCAUCUCUCCAGUUCCCAUUCAAUGUGAGGUUUCUUUUAUCAUCAGUUAUCACAAGCACAGUAGCAUAAUUCCUUGGGGACAAUUUCAAACAGAUCUCAGCUUUAAAUUCUUAUGACUUUGGGGCUUUAUCGUUGUAUUUGACACAAAUGCAAUGAAAAUAUUUACAUCAUUGGUACGUGUAGAGUUCCUUGGAUUUGAAGCAGCCUUUUCUUCCUGAAAGGUCAGUCUUGGUCUCUAUUUCCUUGAAACAGAUGAAUAGCUCAACCAAAGCCCUUAUCCGCCCCAGAAAUGGUAGGUCUGAGCUUUGUCUAACUGUACCUGAGAGAUACAACCACUCCUAUAUAUGCUUAGUGAUUAGUGAGAUCUUGUGUCAAGCUAAAACACAAAAAUGGCUAAGUAAGUAGCUCAGUAAGUCCAAUUCUCAGCACCACCCCCAACUCUCAAAAGCCACGGAUCCCAGGUGAUUCUCAAGUUCCUACCAUAGAUAUGCCUUGUGGAAAAGCAAGGCAGAGUGAUUUUUCUGGUUAACUAUUGAUUAGUAGCCAUUUAACCAUGACAGCAGCUGCAUAUAUCACAUUUCAUUAAACACAGUAGUACAAAGCUGGGAACUCAACCUCUGAUAAACAUCUUAGGUUCACACACUAAAUCAGGCAUGUGUGACCAUCACAUCAUUUAUUCUCUCUUGGCGGUCUAACCAGAGGCUGAUCCAAUAUGCACUUUUGAGACUUUUGGUGAAGGAGAGUCUCUGAGUUUCUUUUAGAGCAUGGAUCUCCAACCCGUGGGCAAUCUGUAGCUUAUUAAGAGUUUGAAUUUACAACAGGAGGUGAGCAAGAUGGAACAGUAAUCUUUAAAAAUUUUUUUUAAAUUAUUUUGAAGGCAGUAAAAUGCAAGAGAACAAGAUAGAACAAAGCCAAUUUAGACAGUGUAGUGAAAUUGAUACAGAACUUCACAGCAGGUUACUGGGAUAACAGUAAUAAGUAUCACAGUAUAUCUCGUUAUCUUCACAAUAGUUGUUCUUUCAAUUGGGUAUAUAAAAAACAACUGAAAUACAGAACAUUACAGAACUUAUCAAAACACAAUAUUGAAUAGAGCAAUACCAUUAACCAGAAUAAAUCAGAACAGUGAUAAAAAUGUUUUCCUUCAAAGAAGUGGUAGAAGGAAAUCCCCCUUAUUUGCUACAUUGCAUAUGGUCAACCUGCCAAGAGAUGCUCAGAUCUCUGGCUUCCAUUUGUUAAUGGAGGUGGGGGGGGGGUGUUUUAUUAUCUGCCCGCUCACCAGUUCAAGGCCACAUAUCAGGGAGGUGAGCUGAUUGCUUGCUUUCUUAGCACCCUAAGUUCCAACAUGCCAUGGAUCUCAGGAGACGCUGGUGGUUCACCCCCUGGGGUGGCUGCAGGCUGCCACAACACAGCCUUUUACUAGGUGGGCUAGCUGGUUGCUUGGCUUCCCAGUACCCUAAGUUCCAACAUGGCUGGACCAGUAAUCUUAAGUUUCACUUGUCUUCCCAUCUGCUUUCCAUUGCUAAAUCCUCACCUAUGGCUUGCUUCCUGGUAGCUCAACAGUGGCAUUAGAUUCUCAGAGGGCUAUGAGCCCUACUUGGAACUGUGGGUGGAAAGGAUCUGAGUUGCAUGCUCCUUUUUUAGAAUCUAAUGUCAUAGUAAUAGAAAUAAAGCAAGUGAUAAAUGUAAUGUACUUGAAUAAUCUUGAAACCAUCUUUCCCUGUGCUUAGAAAAAUUGUCUGCCUUGAAACUGGUUCCUGGUGCCAACAAUGUUUUGGGCCAUUUCUUUACAGGAUCUACAAGCAAAGUAAAAUCUACAUUCACACUAACACAGUUUUUGUCAUUUCAUUCAGUUUUUCUUUCAUGUACAGUGAAGUUUCCCAGAGGCUACAUGAUAUGCAAAACUUCAAAAAGACUGUAUGUCUGAUAAUGGAAUGCUAAAUAAUGGAAGUCUUGUCAUUAAGUAUUUGUUAAUAAAAUAGAAAUUUUCAUAAAAUGCAUGCACAUGAAGUAGAUUUCUGGUUAUUUUAAGUGACAAUAAAAAACUUUCUAUUUUCUCAGUUUUACUGAGAAAUACUAUAGUUAUUUAUAAAUAUGUCAUGUAUAAGGAGAUUUCUUAGAAGUCAUCAACAAAUUUUGAAUAAGAACAUGUUGAGUUUUUAUACAAGACAAAAGAGAUUAACUUCAGGGUUCUUAUAGAGAUUCUAUCACACAAAACACAAAGCACUAUGAGAACUUCAGUGCACAAUAGGAAUAGAUGGUAUUAUUUUUGCUAACAAUCAUUUUGGAGUGGAGCAGGGUUUGGACUCCCAGUGGAAAUAAUUUAGAUCAACCUCAUGGUUUUCUUCUCCCCUAUAGCUCUUUCAGCCGGUAGUGGCAGCUAGAGAAGUAUACUCAACUAUCAUCAUUAUGUGUAUAUUGUAGGUUUUCAUUGCUUCCUACGGCUUGAAAGGUGCCUGUUAUUUCAAGCUGCUGGAAACUGAAUGUGCUUUUAUGACAGAGAGUCAUUUAAACUUUCAAUCUCCUUUGUUUGCAGGCAAAAUAUCUUUAUUCGUUAUAAUAUUAAGAAUUAAUUAUUUGGCUAUGGUUUAGAAAUACAAAUUGAAGAAGUACAGUCCCCUUCCUUAAAGAUCUUGUGGCAUGUGGUCUAAUAAAGAGCAUGUGCACAUUACUCAGUUAUCUUUAUGUACUGUGACCACUGAAUCAGUGAGCAUAGUGGAGAAGCACAGUGAAAAGUGAGAGUAGGGUCAUUACAGCCACUAGGAGGAACCUUGAGAAAGGUUUCUUGGAGGAAGUGUUGUCUGGUCCAGGAGUGAUAAGUUGAAUAACUCAGAUAAGGAUAUGAAGGGGGAAAGAAAGAGAAUGUAACAAGUAGGGCAGGCUACAAAAUUAAACCAAGAUACCAGAUUGCUUAGCACAUUUAUGAACUCCUACAAGAAUAAGAUAUUUGGGAUGGCUAACCUGAAAAGUGGGAGGCAACUAAUAAUAGAAGUACAGAGACUAAGCACUUAAUGUGAAUGACCCUUUGGGAAUCUGAAUGCAAUCCUUUAUUGUAAAGGGACUUGGUUAAAGUUUUCAGAAUCAAAAUAGAGUCACUUUCAUCAGCUCUACAAAAAUAAACAAAUAAAAUCAAGAGGCUGUAAGGAAGAGUUUUCAUGCAUCAUUGACUAAUAGCAAUUAUCACAAAAUUUUUACCAGAGUCACAAGGCCACUAUAAUUUCACAUUAAAAAAAUACUUCUGCAGCAACAUCUACCCAGACUCUGUCUUCCCCCAUGGAGUGGUGCCACCUUCAUUAUAAUCCUACUAUUGUUUCAAAAUAUCUUAUGGAAUCCUCCUUAUUUACCCUUUAAAACCCAUUAUUUGACCCAACUUUCUUGAAUAUCUCUAUAGUUUAACACUUCUCAUUUAAAGACUCUAGAUUAAUGUAUCAUAAUUCCAUAGAGAAUGUUCCUCUGGUUAUUAUUUAAGUUGACAGUUUCAUUGGACAAAGUAAGAUAUAGUUAAGAAUCAUGGGUUCUCUAAUGGUCUAUGAAAAUGUCUCAUUUUGUAGCCUAAACACCCCUGUCAUUAAGAAAACUGGCUUUAGUUUUGCUAAGGUCACAGAUUAUCUCCCUGUUACUUCAAUUAUUCCCAAUAAACACUAAAAACAAGCAAAUAAGCAAAUAUAGUCUUAAUGGUACCACUGAAAGCAAAGUCAAGAAGUGGGAAAUUCCAGUGUCCAACUGUGUCCUUCACCCAGAAAGAAUCUUCUGCAUGUCAAUGAGCACCCCAUGGAGUGGUGCCACCUUCAUUAUUAAUCCAACUAUUGUUUCAAAAUAUCUUAUGGAAUCCUCCUUAUUUACCCUUUGGCUGCUAUAUUUACCUCCUUAUUUACCCAGAUGGCUGCUAUAAACCUCAGUGUGAAGGUUUCACAAGGCAGAAUGCAGAGCAAAAGCAUCAUCCUUUUCCAUUGACCAGUCUCUUUUAUCACAAAGGAAAGUAAUUUCCAGAACUUGUGAAUUCAGUCUUUCCCCUAGGUGAGAACUACAUUUAGCCUAGUAUAAAUAUUAUUUAGACAAAUCAUGAUUAAUGGUGAGUGUGGGACUGAAGAUGGUCCUAUCUGGGUACAUAUAGGAUCCUCGUAGCAGGAAAUAGGGGAGGACUAGAUGUUAUAGAAACAUCAAAACACCCCACACAGCCAGGGUAGCUCCACUUGACCCAAUAUGCAGUCUAGCCCAUUUCUGUAAUUCUUUUGAUUCUGAUUCUGGAAUUCUAGCUGGAAGUCUGAACUCUUGGAACACUACUGGGCUUCCUGGUCUGGUGUAUCAGCUGCACUUUUGACUUGCUCUAGGUCUUCAUGCAUGCAUAUUGCUAAACACUCAAACAUCUUUUCUCCAGUCUCCACUCCUCUGUUCCUUACCUCUUUUCCAUUAGACCAUCAAAUACCUCUUUGCUCAACUUCCCGAAGUCUGCUCACCAAAAAAAGAGUUGUACAUUUUAUUGUGAACUAUUUAAUGCAUUUUACAAGGAAUGCGUAGAUUUUCUAGCACCUUUGGUAGUUUUUUUAUUGAGAGUACUCAUUGCAGUAAAGAUUUUAGGCCAUCCUCUUUUGAACAGGCGAAUCUGGGAAAGAAAAACACAAUCAAAACAAAUAGUGAACUUCAGUCUUCUACAGUCUUAUGUGGUGAGAUACUGAUUAUGAAAAUGUGUUCCUUACACUGGCAAAAGCAAUAUUGGCUGUAAAUGAGUGUAACAUGUAUAUUGGAAGACCUGAAUCAGAAAACUUGAGAUGGGUCCAGAACUGUACUUUAAUAAUCUUUCCUGGAGAUUCUGAUACACAUUAAAGUUUGAUAACCACAGAAAUAAAAACAUAGUAAAUCUACAGUGAAGUUUUACAACUUUGAUUAAAGCAAUACAUCUUUCUAUGCUGUUUCCAUUGAGAAAAUCAUACUUAUUGAUGAUAAAACACCUGCCUGAAGAAGAUUAAAUGGAUAACCAUUUGUCAAGUGGUGAGCUUAAUUUUUGUCACUUUUUGGUAGUAUAAGUAUAUACUCAUUUUUCUCUUCCUCACCUUUCUGAAUGUUAUUUGUAAUAUUUUUUGAAUUCCACUUUUUAAUGUUAAUUGAAGUUACACACCAAUUACACAUCAGAAGAGGUUCAGCGUUCAGUCUCUCUUUGGAAAAUAUCAGAUUGUGUUAAGUACGGACUCUUUCCUUUUUUUGCCUGUGAUUUCAGUGUUUACCUCUGCCACCUAUAUUUUCACUCUCUAACCCCAGAGAUGUUGCAUUUAUGUUACAAAAUGUGUUCUGCAAAGGUGGUUAUAUAUGAUUCUUCAAGGUGCACGCUCUCUCCUUUCGUACUGCUCUUUCAUCUCUUAUUUCUGAUUCAUGCAGCUGGUAUUUCAUUUAUUUGAAAGUAACUUUGCUUCAGGAUGAAAACCAUGCUUGAAGAUGCCAAGUUUCCUGGCUGUGGAAUCACAGUUGCGAAAUACCACCGUCUGUUCGCAUCCUGCCUGAGAAAUGCACUCCGCUUGGGGCUGCAGUGGCUGCAAAUGGUCUCGGUUAGCAGGACUGCGUGGCUCUGUUUCUCUGUGCAGUGUCACAGCAUAAAAUGGGCAUCGUUUGUGGGACUGCACAUGUUUCCCGUCCUAGUUCUGAUUCUCUUGAGCAGGAUGUUGGCUCUCUUUGGCGUGAGUAAUGAGGGAUUCUGCUUCCAAGUGCUUCUAAAAAGAAAGACUGGCUAAUUGUUUUCCCUGAAGAAGCUAAUUGUAGGAACUACAACUUAAUAGAAGCCAUAAUUUUGUAAGCCCCUCCUAUAGAUACACAGUGUACUCACAUUCAUUUGCAACAUCAUGUUGAGUCUAUGCCAAUCCUGCAAAAUAGAUACUAUACCACCGUCCUACAGAGGAGGAUACUAAGGCUCAAAGAAAAUGAUGUGAACCAAACAUGAUCUUUGCCAACCCCGUGUCCUUUUGCUAUGAUGUUCCUGACUUGGAAUCCGCUGACCCUGAACUGCAUCUCCUGAAACUAGUACUUUGUAAAAGUUGAAGUCACGAAGGUCACACUGAAAUGAGCUUCCUCCAUAGAGAUGGUAGGAAACAGAGGCAGAUUUUAAGGUGCCUAUGUGGUUAGGAAAGGGGCCAAAGAAUGAGAGGCAAGCGUGAAGCGAGUGAGGCGAGUGUGCACCCACAAGCAAAGAACCUCCAGGGUCCAUGCGAAAAUGUCCUUUAAACUAAGGGAAGCUCACACUGGCUCUGAGUUUGUGUGCCUGUGCUUACAAGUGUAUAUAUCAGCAGCUGCAUUUGGAAUGAAGACAGGAAACACAAAAAAGAAAGCCCUGGAGACAAAAGUACUUGCAAUCGAGGUUCAAGAUAGAUGUAAGAUGUGGCUACUUUGGUACCAUUAAAGUGUUAUCUUUGCUACGUUACAAACAGUCACACGGGAAUUCAGCCACUUAUUGCUUAUUUUCCUAAUUAGUGAUCUCAAUUAGUGGAGUUCCAUUUCCCCAGUUUAAGUGCUGUGCUGUGUUGGAGGUUUCCCUGAGCCUGGCCAUCCUGUAGCAUAAGGAGCCCCACUAGCAGUUGGCAUGGAGAGGCAUAAAGGGAGUUGGAGACACCAACUGUGUUCUACUUGGGAAGCUGAUGGGCUCCCAGGCUCACUGCAAAACCAACAAAGCUGUUCUACCUUGGUCUGUUUCUUAGGAUCCCUAGCUAAGGGGAAGGUGAGGAAAGAGAAACACCAGAACUGGAGAGUGCACUAACGCCACAAUUGACUAGGUAAUAUUUAAAGCAAUAUUUAGGACAACAGGCUAGCGAUGGACCCAUACUGGUCCUCUACUUUGUAACUAACACUUUAUUAGAACUAUAGCCAGGAGAACAGUUUGAAGCCAGUCUGGACCACAUAGAGAGUUCAGGGCCAGCCGGAACUAAAAUACAACACCCUGUAUCAAAAAGACAAGCACACAACAAUCAAAACAAAAUAAAAUGUUGCUUUAAUACC